UUUUACUGUGUGCCGUGUGUUGGUGCUGUCCCGCUCUCUCUCACGGACAACUUGAAAACAGGGCGCACAGUGAAAGUCUUAGUGUGGAGGUAGUUGAUAAGUGGAAUGGAUGUAUGUCCCCUCAUUAUGUCACCGAAAUUCUUUUUAGCUUAUCAAAAACCAUUUAUAUGUGUUGUCUGCUGUAAGAGUCGGUGCACUAUCCAACGCCUCCCGCAACAUUAAAAAGAAUUUCGCUACGAAUUAUUCAUCAAGAAUCGCCUUCCCGAUGGCGGCUUUAGCAUUCAAUAAACUGCUAGAUCUCGAAAUAGACUUCCACCGCGAUAUGCAACGGAAUCUAUAGAUCGAAGGGCCAAUCGUUAUGAUCCAUCGUAAGUCGUCAGCGUGAGUAAUAGCCAGGAAUGACCAUGAUGAAGGAAACAUUCGACAACGCGAGCAGAAGUCAUAUUCAACAGAACGAAUGACAAGACAUCUGCACAUAACACUCGUGACGGUAAAAGUGGAUCAAAAGUGAGCAAGAAAACCGUGUGUUGACUACUACAGGUCAACGUUUAUCACAAUCUUCCGAUGCCAUCUUUCCGCAAAACCAAAUGAGUGUUGUGAGCACGUCCCGGUCGACCAGAUUCAGCAAUCAUUCGAUGGUGCUAUUGAAACACAACGAUCGGAGAAGGUACCUGUUUGAUAUAUACUGCAGCUUUAUUCGAGUUCAGUAGUUAAGUAGAGAUGCCCAAAAAUAACUGGGAUCAAAAUAGUGAAUAUUUAUUUUCGAGUUAAAUUAAUAGCUGUAUGUUUUAACACGUCAUGAAAAUUUGGAACUCGAUAAGUAUUUGCAUGUAGUGGAGUGUGUAUUGAAAAUUUAAAAUUGUUAAUUGUAAAACUUCAUCUCAUGCGAAGUGUUACGGGGGGGAGUGUAACGCAAAGAAGCGUACUUUAAAUUUUAAAACACUUGAUUUUCUUUGAACAUCCCUAGAAACAUAUUCUAUCCAGCUAUAGCUAUAGACAAGAUGACAUGCAAGAAGAAAUAUAAUAGUAAUCUUAGUGUGGAGGUAGUUGAUAAGUGGAAUGGAUGUAUGUCCCCUCAAUAUGUCACCGAAAUUGUGAGUAGACUCUGUGUAAAGAUCAAUUAUGCUAAUAAACAUGUUUUAGCUUUUUAGCUUAUCAAAAACCA